CACACGAAAUCUGAGGCAUUCAGGGGUCCCUCUGUAAGGUCAUUAACCAAACCAAAGUUUAUUGAUUUAUUUUUCUGUAACAGUGUCUGACAGGUUAUGGUCAGAGACUUUCCAUGUGGAAUGGAGACAAUCAGGUAGAAAAGAUUUGCUUCUCAUUUCUAGUACUGAGUUUUCAGUCUAGACAAAGCAAAGACUGUUGGUAGUCAGUAAAAAGGACUUUCUCAUGCUGUGAAAUAUAGCAUUUUAGGAGAUGCAGCAUUACUCGUGCAACUGUGUUCAUCUGCUUUAUUAACAUGUGUUAUUUAUGAUGCUCAGGGUGCCAAUGCUUAUAAAUAGUUCUUGGAAACAAUUUUACUAAUGUCGUCCAAAGGUCUGAUGGGGUCCAAAAAAAAGAGGCCUCUGGGGGACUGCCUGUCACAGGGUAGGGGAGAGGGUAUAAAGAUGGGAGAGGUCUUGGCUUCAUAAUCACCCCCAGGUGCUUUGGGGCUACACUUCCAGAAGCUUGGGAUCAAUGGGAGAAAUAAAAUCUUUCCGUAAAUAAUGCAGUGUGUUUCUAUAAGGCUCACACACACAUAAGAAGGAAAAGGGACAGGAACUAUUGGUUGAAACAGGAAAGGAAAGUAAUUAUCUGUUGGUUUGGCAGUAAUUUAUCGAGAAUGGGAAAGCAAAUCAUUAGCAAUCAAGAAAGCUCUUAGGAUAGGGCAAGGCAGAGAGGUAAAGCUAUUAGACACAUUCAGAAAAAAUUUAUGUGCUUUCUCCAUCAGGAACCAGGAACCCCAUACAUUUUACUGUAUUUUUAAAAAAUUAUCGUUACUUAGAAACAGUAAAAUAUGAAGAAUGCCUUCUUAGUCAAGUAGCAUUUUUAUUUGAAGUGAACUGCAUUGCUAGCAGUUUAUUUUGUGCAGUUUUAUAGUGGUCAGGCACAUGGACUCAAAGCUGGACUGCUGGGUUCCAUUCAUAGCUAGGUAUUUUUUGGACAUUUUCCUUAACCUCUCUGCCUUCGUUUCAUCAUAUAUAAUUCAGGAUAAUAGCAGUACUGACCCCAUAAAGUUGUUGGGAAUUGUAAAUGAAUUAUUGUAUGAAAAGCUCUGGGAAUAUUACCUAGCACAUUACAAAUGCUAUAUUAGAGUUGGCUAUUAUUAUUUAUUCAUAUGUAAAAACAACACUAAAUUAUAAUAAUAGCUCAUGUUUAUUGAGUGCUUAUUGUGAGUCAUAUAUUUUCCCAAGCAUUUUAUAUGCAAGUCAGUCAUCAGAUCUUCAUGGCAAACUAUUAGAUAGAGUUAUUAUUAUUCCCAUUUUACGGAUAAGGAAAUUAGCAGCAAAACUCAGGCCAGGAACUCUUUAUUACUAUCCCUUCAUCUCUUUAAUAUGAAUUUCCUUUUCUAGUCUUUUCACAUAGUUCCCUUCUUCGUGUAGAGAAAUUAACAAAAUGAAUGUACUUUAAAAGAGGCUAAUCCAAGUAAAGAAGAAUUAAGACAAGCUAUGCCUGUUUAAUUCAGCUCAACAAUUCACACCUUCAUAAGCCAUGACACCAUUCUCACUGUAUUUCAUUUUAAUGCUAUUAUUUUGCUUGGUGACUGGUACAUAUAAAUAUUUUAUACAGACUCUUCUCUUUGUGCCAUUAGGAUGAUGAAAUGUAUACAUGCUAAUGGAAUCCUAAGGUUCUCUGCUUUUUCUUUUAGGGUCAAUUGUCAAUUAUCUACAGCACAAUUAUUGUAAGUUUAAGCAAUUCUUUCUUCCACAUUUCUCUAUCAGUAUCGUCUUUGUUGAGAUGAAGCAUUUUAGUGGCAAUAGACUUACUCAUAACAUAGCUAGAAUUGCAGUGUCUCAUUUUAUUGUGUCACUGUCAAGGAUGAUACUGGCAUAUUCUUAAGGUACUGCUUUGUUGACAAUGUAGUUGACACUAUUUAUUGUUAUUCUUAAUUAUUACUGAUAGUACAUCAAAAGUGGGAAAGGACAAUUGAAUAAACAUAUCCUUAUCAAUUUGACCUCUUCUAAGAAAUACAUGAUCCCCUUGACUUAACACAAUUCCUGGUCAAUAUAAGUGUCUGCCCCACUACACCCCCAUUACCUGCCUAAUCAGACCUGCCUACUGUAUCCUCUAUAGCAGUUUCUUCCUAAUUGUUGACUGUUCAAAUGGACAGUGUGUUGGGAGGAGGCAACAUGGAGCAAUGGAGAAAUUGUUGCUAGUUAUCUCCCACAGAAAGUCUAACUUCCUUCCUGUAUUAUCCUAUCCCAGUGAAAGCCAUUUACAUUCAACUAGGCACUUAAGCCAGGAUCUGAGAGUCAUCUUUUAACAGUGACAGUGAGAAAUGAUGCCUAGUAAAGGAAUCGGGGGAGAGUGGCUUGACUCGCUCCAUAAUCCUCAUCAUUAUACUCUUUCCAUGAUCGUUUUACUUUCCAUACCCUUAUUCAUAACAUUUCCUCAAUUCUAUGUAGAAUGCUAUUUUAACAUAUUUAAUACAGUGUAAUAUCCUUAUCUCUCCAAACUGCAGAGCUUCUAAAUUCCACUUACACUAAAACCUGAAGCUGCUGCAAUUCUUCCAACUUUUUCUCUUACUAUACCCAAAUCCCAUGAAAGGUAAUGAAAGGUGGAUCACUCGUUUCUAUAUACUACAGCUGUACCUCAUAUACACUUCUAUUAUCGCACUUUCCACACUUCAUGUAUGCAUGCAUGUGUGUAUGUAUAUAUGGAAGGUGUGUGUCUCCAUUUGACUGGAGCUCUCCAAGGGCCAGGUCUUAUUCAUAUCUAAAUUUGAAAUACUUAACACAAUUCCUAGUAUGCAGCAGGACAGGUGUGCUCAUUAAAUUAUUGCAGAAUAAACAGAUGAUGGAUAAAAGAAUGAUUAGACUAAGGGUUUCCUUGCAGUUCACAUAUGACCUUGGAAGAAUCAGGUAAGUUCUCACUGCUUAAGUUUAUUCUUUCAUUAAAAAUACAAAAUUUUAAAGACUUGUAGUAAUACAUGUUCUACAUCAAACUAGGAUAUACUUGUAAACCCUUCCGCAUGCUGUGAAGUACCAUGUCUGUGUGUGAGAAUUAAAAAUAGUGGAUCCAAUCAAAGAAGUAUAAGGAUAGAAAAACUAUCCUUGAAUAUGUUUUCAAGAUGUGUACUGUUUGAAACCAUGUCUCAGGUAACAAUCAACGAUUUUAAGAAAGAGCUUUAGAAAUCCAAUCACAAAGAAAAGAAUCUUUAUUUCUCCCUUUGGUAUAUGACAUUUAACAAAUUAAUUUAGAAUUCUUUAAAACCAAUGGAGCUAAGAGGAAAUUGAGAACACUUGAACUAAUCAGUCCCAACUUAAAUGUAGAAGGUCAUAUAUCUAAAAGGUUACAUUACUACAAUGGAAAAAUUCAAUUACUACGGACUCCUAAAGGGUUUUACUUAAAAUAGCACAGAACUGUAAUGCUGUCAAUUCCAAUGAAAAUAAUUGCAUUUCCCUAAAUACUGUGAAUAAUUUGGUAAAUACAUCUAUUCUCUUAAAGUGCAAAUUUCCAACAUCUGCAGAACUCAGGAGCCCAAAACAUAAAUAUUCAAAUAUUUCAGCAAGAGUUUUAAAUGUGUUAAUACCACCAAGUUUACUCAGCUAUUUCUAUACUUGGAUGUCUGAUUUUUGUCUGAAGUUUAGUAAAGAGGAGGGUAUCUUGCUUCAAACUCACACUGAAGAUCGUUAAUUUGAUUUUUUUUCUCCUUUUAACAAACAGUUCUUUUAGGAAUUUCUUAAAAAUUAAAUGUGACAAUCCAGGUCCAUAAAAUGUUAAAAUUUAAAAGAAAUUGAUCCUCUAAUCCCAUGGCACACAAAUCCAAAGCAAUUACUCAAAGAUAGCUAAUUCUGGGCCCUGGUGUUAAUAUUCAGAUCCUGUUGGUCAGAAUUGGGUACAUUUGAUAGGAACCAUCAUUAAUUCUGAUACGCUGAUUCAUGAAUCUGCAUAGGUAUGUAUAGAUUUCUAAUUCAAACUUUUACCUUUAUAGAUAAAGAUGUUGAGAUCCUGACAGCGAAAAUAAUUUCUGAAAGACCCUCUGGACUCUUAUGGCUGUGAUUCAAAAUCCAGGUCUCCUGACUUCCAGUGGAGUGCUCCUUUAUACCAUGAGACAUCCUGGAAGGUCACACACCUGGCCAUCAGUGUUCAGAGCACACCGUUAUGAGCCCAUGCUGAAUGCCUCUAGCCACAUGAGAUCACAUGGAUUAAUAGAUCUAUAAAACAGGAAACCUCAAUGCGAGCAACUCAGUCUAGUAGAGCAGAAUGAACAAAUUGGCACUCAAAUCAUGCAAGUGUUUAUACUUAUAAUUAUGAAAAUUGUUAACACAGCUUCCCUUGUUUAAUUCUCACCACAGGCCAGGUCUAAAUAAAAUCAGGCAGUCCCCCCAACACUCCUAUGAGAAAGCCUGGUGCAAUUCUUAUUUUAUAGAUAAGGGGGACUCCGAGCAAGCAAAUCUAGCAUAACUUGACAAAUAGUAGAUGACUGGGACAUGAGUUAAACUCAGUUCUCUUUGAUAUUUUCACUGUUCCCCUUGCCCUCUCCUUCCUGUUGUAUGGAAACAAGAUACUUCAAGACUUGGCAUUUUUGUAUGAACGUUGUAGAAUUCCAGCUGUUGAGGCUUUGCCUUCAUGCGUGAGGGUCAAGCAGUACUUUACUAUGAGAUAGACCAAGGGUGUCCAAUCUUUUGGCUUCCCUCGGCCACACUGGAAUAAGAAGAAUUGUGCUGGGCCACACAUAAAAUACACUAACAGUAAUGAUAGCUGAUGAGCUAUAAAAGAAUUGCAAAAAAAUCUCAUAAUGUUUUAAUAAAGUUUACACAUUUGUGUUGGGCCAAAGCCAAAACCAUCCUGGGCCACGUGUGGCCUGUGGGCCACGGGUUGGACAAACUUGAUAUAGACCUUCCUCAAGCAAAUUGUGCCACUACGUUCUGUCCCAUCGGGUAACAAAAUACCCUAGGAAAAUAGUAGCUUUUAUUCACAACACACAACCAGGCGCUGCCUUAAUACACAGUGCCUGUGAAUGUGACCGUUUAAAUUAAAAUGCAGUCACAACCCUGCUGACACCUUGGUUCCAGACUUCUAGCCUCCAGAACUGUGAGACAAUACAUUUCUGUGGUUUAAGCCACCCUGUUUGUGGUAGUUUGUUUCAGCAGUCCUAGUAAACUGAGAUUUUCUUUUUUUUUUUUUUUUUUUUUUUUUUUGGUAGAUACAAGGUUUCACCAUGUUGGCCAGGCUGGUCUCGAACGCCUGACCUCAAGUAGUGAUCCACCCACCUCAGCCUCCCAAAGUGCUGGGAUCACAGGCAUGAGCCACUGCACCCAGUCUCUUCAUGUCUUUAGGUCGGAUUCCUCAUCAUUUGAUUGUGAGAUGGUAAUAGUGCUGACAAGUGCUUUGAGUUUGAAGUUGUUCAACUUGACCCUGGUCUAUGUGUCUUACCUAUUUUGUUUCAUGUUGCAAGCACUGCUAGCUUUCCUAUUCAAUACCUAUCCUCCCUUCUUUUUUUCUAAUAGAAAGCUACUUUUGUUGGUAAUGACAGUGGCCCAUCUAUAAACUUCAACUUCCCAGACUCCCUUGCAACUAGAAAUGAUUUUAUGAUAUAGUUUUGGGCCAAUGAGGUGUAAACAGAGGUCUGCUAAGGAGCUCUGAGAAUUUCUGUUUGUCCAUUUACUCAUCAAUUCAUUCCUUUAUUUUAAUAUCAGUGUCACUCCUUCUUUCUUCAUUAUUUCUUCUCCAUCCUAUCUGGAACAUGAACAUGAGAUUAGAGUUGCAGCAACCAUGUUGAGACUAUGGAUGAUAAAUGUGAUAAAAGCCAUAUGCUAAGCACAGUGUGAAGUCAAGAUAUAACUCGGUCAGGACUUCAGCCUUUUUAUUGAGAGGACAAAUAUACAUAUAGUUAAGCAACUAAAGUAAGAUUUUUGUGUUCCUAUAGCCGUAUUCAAUUCCAACUGGCAAAUGAUAGGAAAUCAGCUGUGGCCCCAGAGAAAAGAUCCACAGAUAGGAACUUUUCAGGCUCUUCUGAUGAAAAUGACUAGAUUUUUCAACUCAUCAGCCUACAGUGAAAGUCACCAAUAAACAGGGUCUGCUCAGUCAUACAGUAUGCAAUCAGCAUAUUAUUAUCUCACUCUGAAAUAUUCAUAGACAGCCAAGGAUGGAAAAGCGGAGAUCAAAACAAAUAAUAUAAGGAAUUCAGAGGCUACAGAUUCAGUGCAGGGAACAAACAAAAAUAAAUUUUAAAAAUAUAUUUGAUACCCUAGGGUAACAUUUUUAAAAGGGUCACAUAAAUGGAGCAAGUAGCCAUUGUAUAACAAAAGAGGAAAAUACAGUAAUAAACAACUCUCAUAAGUUAAAAUUGUUAGCAGAUAUAAAAAGGAGUUCAUUAAGGAAGAGCAAAAAUAAAUUUAAGAGAAUCUCACAUAAAGAAAUAUGUUUUAGAAGUGCCGCAAAGUCAGAGGUAAACAAUUAGAAAAUUACAAUAGCAAUUCAAAAGACUCAAUAUCUGACUAAUAGAAGUUACAGAAAGACAAAGCAGAAUCAAUAAAGGAGAAACACAUUUCAAGGAAAUAAAGCAAAAUAAUUCGCCAGAGUUGAAGCAUUAGGCCGUCACAUUCAAAGGGCCUGCCAAAGGCACAAAACAGUGAAAGAAAAGAAAUCCAUACUGAGGCACAUUUUUCUGAAUCUUACAGCACCUGGAUAAAGAUAAAAUGCUAAACAGCUUCCAGACAGAAAAAAUAAAAUAGGUUAGAUGAAAAGAAUGGCGUUCUGCUUUUAAACAAGAUAUAGGAAUAUGAAAAAGUAAAGCUUUAAAAAAUUGGAGGAAAACUGUUCUCCUAAAUUCCAAUAUAAAUUAUUGGUCAUGUGUGAUGAGAUUUUUUUUUAACUCAGAAUGAAAAUCUUUGUAAAAAAUUCCCUCUUUCUUUCUUGGGAAGUAAUGGAAGACACACUUCACUAAUGAGAGAGCAGCAAAUCAGAAGAGGAUGUAGAAUCUAACCCAAGAAAGAGGUAAAGAUAAUUCUUUGUUAACUUUUAUUUCAAGUUCAGGGGUACAUGUGCAGGUUUGUCAUAUAGGUAAACUCAUGUCACAGGAGUUUGUUGUACAGAUUUUUACUCAGGAAUUAAGCGUAGUGCCCAAUAGUUAUUUUUUCUGCUCCUCUCCCUCCUCCCACCCUCCACCCUCCAGUAGGCCCCAGUGUCUGUUGUUCCCCUCUUUGUGUCCAUGAGUUCUCAUCAUUUAGCAUCCAUUUAUAAGUGAGCACAUGUGGUAAUUGUUCCUGAAUUAGUAUGCUAAGGAUAAUGGCCUCCAGCUCCAUCCAUGUUCCCACAAAAGACAUUAUCUCCUUCUUCUUUAUGGCUGCAUAGUAUUCCAUGGUGUAUAUGUACAAGAGCAGAGACAUGGAAUCAACUUAAAUGCCCGUCAGUGACAGAUUGGCUAAAGAAAAUGUGGUACAUAUACACCAUGAAAUACUAUGCAGCAAAGAGAGUUCUAAGUGAGCCCGAGGAGGCCUAGAGAACAACUGCCAAUGGCAACAAGAAGAAGGUGUUAAGGAGGUAUGUCCCCAGGGGCAGAGGAGGGAUGGGGAAUUACAGUUUGAGAUUAAAAUUGAAAUUGGCAAAUUAUACAUAUAUAGAAAAUUUGGCAAAUGAAAACAAAACAAAUGCCAUUUUAACUCUAAGGAAAACCAGGUAGUAAAUGCAAUCAUUGUAUGCUAUCUAGAAGAGGUGGGAAUAAUAUUACAUGACUGUAAUAAUGCAAGCCCUUGAAUGUUGAGUGAAAACAUUGGGAGGUUGGUGAUAAGGGAGAACAUGUAUAGAGAUAAAGGGGUGUUGUUAGAGAGGAUAAUCGUCAUGUUCCAUAUGCGGAAGACAGGUAAUACCUGAAAUGGAAAAGUCAACGAUGAUGAGUAAAAACAGAUGUAUCAUGAAAGCUUAUAUUAGGUUGGUGGAAACGUAAUAUGGCUUGCCAUUGCUUUUAAUGGCAAAAACCACAAUUACUUAUUUUGCAUCAACAUAAUGGUAGAAGAAACAGUCAAAAGUUUCAAGGAAAUUGCAUCUAUGAAGCAGAAUUCAGAGUUAGGGUAGGGUGGCACAAGUUGCUGCUUUUCUGGUUUUCAUCUUGUGUAUUUUUCUGUUAUAGGUGAAGGGUCACAAGCUUUAAGGUACAAUUUCAUUUACUUUUUUAAAAGUUCAUGUAGUACUUUAAUUAAAGUCAAUAUUAAAUAAGAAUAUUUGGCCUUGGAUUUACUUUUUGAAAACUGAGUUUUGGUAUUGGCCUAUUGUUUCACCAUACAGAACUUUAAAGAUUAUAUAUAUAUACACAUAUAUAUACACACACACAUAUAUAUAUGCCCUACACAUCCAUAGUAGUAAAAACCUAGAAACAAGAGCUAAUAUUAAAUAUAUUAAUAUUAAUAAUUUAAUAUCAAUUAAAUUAUUCAUCAAAUAUUAAUUCAGCCAGCUUCUAGUCUAGGCACUGGGGAUACAGCAGUGGACACAGUAGAUGGACCUGCCUGUUGAUAACAAGUGUAUAUUUUGAGUGUGUUCGGAUAGAAUAUCCUUGGCUAAGUCGUGUACUAUAAUCUAUUUGAGCCCUGGAUUCUUCUUCUGUAAAAUGGGCAUACAAGUACCCACUCAUUAUUUCAAAAAUUAAUUAUGAGGACCUGUUCAGCUUAAAAUUUUUUCCAUGUUAAGAUACAUCUCACAAAGCAGCAUUUUACUAUUAAAAGAGUUCACUUUGCAAUCAUUCCUAGCACUAGCAAACUGAACCAUUAGGGAUGAGACUUUCAAUAUUACACUACUGCCACAUUCCUCUUUAUUAUGAAAGGCAGAUUGCCAAAAUCAGUUUCUAGUCACUCGGUUUGUCUAAAUAUUGCAGGGCUUUUUGAUGUUGCAUUAGCAGAAUAUACAGUCUACAUUGAUUCCAUUCUUUUGUCGGCCUAUGCAAAAAAACCAAAUGAAUCUAUUCAAAAUCAAGAUGCACUGAACUGCAUAUGAUGCAAAAGAAUGAUUUUGCUAAACACAGCAACUAUGUAAUGCACCCCAUUCCUUCUCCAUCAGCUUGGAUCCUGAGACUAUUUUGUAAAUCUGCAGAAAUAAGAGUUUUCUAUAUUUAUUGAAAGGUCAAAAGUUUGGGAGGUGGAGAGGUGUAAGGCAGAUAGGAAUACGGUAUCGUAUUUAUUAAACAAUAUGUCAGAAACAGACACAUAGCAGGCAAUUUGUAAAGUACAAUAGAAAACAAGCACCUGUUAUCUCUACCACUCUAAUUUGCACCAUCACUUCUAGUAACAGCAAAAGCCUCCAAAGUGGUUUUCAUGCUUCUACCUUUCCCAUUCCCCAAAGAAGACAUCCAUUAGAAUGAGCCACUGAAAAUAUAAACCAUAUCAUAACAGUUUUCUCUCCAAAAUUUCAUUAUUUUCCCCAAAAGGCCAAAUUUUCUUCAAUAACCUACAGAAAGUAUUUGUUAAAUGAAAGAAUCAACCCAUCUAGCAACCACCAGUGAGACUUGGGUCACUCGAUCCUUGCAAUGUGUUAAGCAUUACAAUUGAAAUAAAAAGCAAUUAGAACACUGGAAAACUUACUAUUCUACGAUAUCACUACAUAGUAGUACUGGGAUCUAGGACAUGUGUUGUGAAUAAGGACUGGAAGUUAAGAGAAGUUUAUGUGGGUCAUAGUAGUUUGGGUUUCUUGUGUAGCAGAGACUCAAGUGUGAGUUGGAGAUGUGAAUGCUCCAGUCAUUAUGUUGUUAUUUAAUUACAUACAAGAAAGAAAAGAACACACACACCUGUAUAUCUCAAGUCCAAAGCUAUCAAGUCCUUGAUUCUAUGAGAUACGCUUUAUCCUCUCUAUAAUAGUUUAAAUGAUCUAUUUUUAACAAAAAAAAAAAAAAAAGUUACUUUUUUUUUUUUUUUUUUUGAGAUGGAGUCUUGCUCUGUUUCCCAGGCAGGAGUGCAGUGGCAUGAUCUUGGCUCACCACAACAUCCACCUCCUGGGUUCAAGCGACUCUCCUUCCUCAGCCUCCCAAGUAGCUGGGACUACAGGCACGCACCACCACGCCCAGCUAAUUUUUAUAUUUUUUAGUAGCAAUGGGGUUUCACCAUGUUAGCCAGAUUGGCCUUGAACUCCUGAGCUCAGGUGAUCCACCCACCUCAGCCUCCCAGAGUGCUGGAAUUACAGGUGUGAGUCACCUCACCCAGCCAAAAAACAGCUACUUCUAUGGAUGCAGUAACACUGCACUGGAGCAGACAGAUACAUAGGUGACAUACAUGGACUGAAAUAAAAUCUGAUUGAUGUGUCAAGUUUAGAGCAGUGACAGGCUCACUGUGAAGAUGGUAGAGAAACUUGAACUCGAGUAAACUCUGUUAUCUGGAAUCCAAUAAAUUGCAAAGUGAUUAAGUGGUCUCUUUGCACAUAUAUGGUACAAACCUAACUGAUAUUCUAAGUAGUCUUUGAGACCCUGAAUUUACACAACUCAAGGAGAGAUUAAAUUGUGUGCAGCAUCAUGAGAAUGUUGGGUUUAUUUUAUUGCAUUCUAAUUAUUUGAAAAUUGAUAACCUGUGUACAUACGGCGACUUCCCAUUGAUCUGAAUAUUGGAUUAAGUGAAACACUCUGAAAUUGCCAACUGAACUGAUUGCACCUAAUGAGAUGGAGAUGUGGAAACAGCCAUGAGCUUUUCAUCACUGGCUGCAAACCUGCAAUUUUCUUGGUGAAGAAAGAAAACACAAAAUGCUAUUGGAGAGUGGUUUUCAUGCCUUGCACAAUCCCUUCAUCCAUAACCUUCAAUUCUAGAUGGCUGCAUACUGUUCACUUGGCUAACUUCUAGAAUAGAGUGGUGGAUUCUAGGCAACAGGAUGUGAUCAUUAAAAAGACAUAAAACAAUUCUAAAAAUGUGUUUUGAAAAAUAUCAGGUAAGUUCUCCUAAGUGAGACAUUCUCAGUUUAGGUAAAGCUUAGAAUUGUGCUUCUCAAAUUUCAGUUAGUCACGUAGCUACCUAUAAUUGCACUAGCAAAUCUACAUUUAAUUUAUAUGGUUUUUGUUAUUUUUCUUACGUUAAUUCAUUAACUUACACUUAAAUACAUUAUUGUUAAAGGAAAUAUUAUAUCACUACCAAACUAUAAGUAGGUAUCUUUUACCAUAAAGAGGUAACUACAAAUAUAAAUAAAAUAUUGUCUUCAAAUAUUAGUUCUGAGUUCAGGACUGUGAUCUCUUUGCCAAAAGAGAAAUAUACAAGUAUUUGUGAUGUGUUAAAGACCGGCACCAAAAGAUGUAUGAGUGUGUGUGUGUGUGUGUGUGUGUGUGUGUGUGUAAUGCUGUUAAAAUUUAGUUAAGCUUUUAAAUACAUUUUUAAAAUUGGUAUCUUUACUAUAAGGCUACUUGAAAUCUAUAAAAUGCUAAAAAGUAUUGUUAUUUUCUCAGAGAGGUUUAUGUUAUCCAGUGUUUCACAGUAUGUGUUGAGCAUGAAAUAUUUUUUAGGCAGAAAAUAUAAGAAGAUGCAUAUUUCUUUCAAUGUGUGCUGGCAAAUUGUGCCACUGCUUUUGUUGUUUUUCAAAUUCCUUCAUGCCUCUAUGAUACUCUUUCCUUCUGCUCAGUAAGUUAGCCACUCUUUCUUAAACAUGACACAAAGUUGUCAUCUCCAUUCUUGACUCACAGUAUUUCCUUCACUGCUGCCUCACCUUCAGCUGUUAAAAUACAUCUCUUUGCCACCCAAAUACUUGCACACAAAAUAGCCAAAAAGUGAGAACACCCAAAUCUCCAUCAACUGCUGAAUGGUUAAACAGGUGGCAAAUUCAUAGAAGGGAAUACUAUUUAGCAAUAAAAGACUGAAUUACUCACAUGUGCUACAACAUCAAUGGGUCACAAAUGCUAAGUAAAAAAGAAACAACAAAAACUAGACACAAAAGGCCCCAUUUUCUAUGAAUAUAUUUGUAUGAAGUAUCCAGAAAAGGAAAAUCUAUAAAGAUGGAAAGUAGAUUAGUAGUUACCUGAGGCUAUGGUGGGAGUGGAGGUUAACUGUAAAUGGGUAGGUGGGAUCUUAUUGGGAUGAAAGAACUGUCCUAAAAUUGGUUAGAUAUCAUGAUUGUAUAACUUGGUAUAUUUAUAAAAAUUGACUGAGUUUUAUGUUUAAAAUGGGUGAAUCUUCUGAAAUAUACAUUUUUCCUUCAUAAAAUUAUGUAAAACUUUCAGCCAGCUAGCUGGACAAUCAACCACCUAUCCAUUGAUCCAUUCUUUCAUCUUUUAACAUUUUCUCUCUCAUGCCAUAAUCUGAAGGUAACUUUUUCUUGUCUUGAGAAAACAUACCAUUAUGUUUUCAUAUAUCAUAGAUCUUUUCAUUUGCCUUUCUUGUAUGAUAUUCUAGUAUUUCUCUAAUAUCCUUACUUGACCGUAAGUUUUUACAGACAUAAACUACUCUGAACUAGUCCAUGUGAAAAUAAAUACUUAUUGAAUCUAUAUAUAUAUAUGAAGCAAAUUCUAUUUCAUGGGGAGGCGGGAGGGAGGAGGCAUAGCAUUAGGAGAUACACCUAAUGCUAGAUGACGAGUUAAUGGGUGCAGCACACCAACAUGGCACAUGGAUACAUAUGUAACAAGCCUGCACCUUGUGCACAUGUACCCUAAAACUGAAAGUAUAAUAAUAAUAAAAAAUAAUGAUAAAUAAAUAAAUCAUGCUACUAUAAAGACACACACACACAAAAAUAAAUAAAAAUAAAAACAAGUAAAAAUACCCAUUAGCACAUAGUAUUAAAUUGCCUGCUUUGAAAUCUGCAAUUUACUGUCCGGGCAUGGUGGCUCACACCUGUAAUCCCAGCACUUUGGGAGGACGAGGUGGGCAGAUCACGAGGUAAGGAGAUUGAGACCAUGCUGGCUAACAUGGUGAAACCCCGUCUCUACUAAAAAUACAAAAAAUUAGCCAAGUGUGGUGGCAGGCGCCUGUAGUCCCAGCUACUCAGGAGGCUGAGGCAGGAGAAUGGCGUGAACCCGGGAGGUGGAGCUUGCGGUGAACCCAGAUUGCACCACUGCACUCCAGCCUGGGUGACAGAAUGAGACUCUGUCUCAAAAAAAAAAAGAAAGAAAAAAGAAAAGGUAUCUGCAAUUUACCUUUUGUUAUCUAACUUUGAAAAGUGGUUUAAUACCUCAACACAUCAGUUAUUAAUUCAAAGAACGAUAAUAAUAGCAGCAACAAAAGGUAUAAGCAAAAGCAGCCACCUUUACUGAACACUUACUUUGAACUGGCCAAGCUGUUUGGUACUUCUCAUUUUGCAGAUGUCAUUCCAGAAAAAAGAAGCUGAGACACAAUGAAGUUAAAUCAACUGGCUUAGGUCAAAUGCCUUGGAUGUAGAGCCUGAGGCAGGAUUUGUAUACACAUGGCUUUUGAAGGGAGUGCUCUCAAGGCAUGGUAGGAAUGAGAUGUAGGAAGGUAAAAGGGGAAGGGAUAGGAGCUAAGAUUUUUCAAGGGAAGUUUUGCUCUAGUGUGAUCCAUGGAGAUCUCUGAGGAUAAAUAGGAAAGCAGAGUUUUUCCUGUCUUGAGACAAGAGAAUGGGACUUAAAUAUACCUGUUCCUGCUACUGUGCAUGUGGAUGCCCUUGUGUGUGUGUGUGUGUGUGUGUGUAUGUCCUUGGCUGUAGUUACCCAAAAGUAAUCCUGCAGAAAAUGUAACAGACGUGAGCACUUGGGGGUGCCCACUCCUGGGGGAUGAACACACCCAACAGGAAAAGGGAUUCCAAGAGACCUGAGCAGACCCCAACAGCCUCUGCUACAGCUGUUGGCCCGAAUCACAUAUAUAGUAAGGGGAAUAUCUGAGAUUCAAACUUCAAUAUUUCUGAUGCCUAUAUCAGUGCCUUUAAUGCCCUACCUUUUUCAGGCAGUGCCGCAUUUGAUACACAUACAUAAAUGCACAAAAUCCCCAUUAUGGCUUAGAUUGAUCCAUUAGCAAAUAUUUUUUAAAUUAAAUAUUAAUGCAAACAA